GACAUGUCCCUUCCGUCCAUGCCAAAUCUACGCCCUUGACUCAGGUGUAUAUAUAAAUGCUCACACAGGAGAGAGCUCCGUCACUCUCUCUCUUCGUGUUUGUAGCAGGUUACCGGUGUCCGGGCUGUGAUGGACCGCUGGCGGGGCAGAGUGGCUCUGGUGACCGGAGCCUCGGUCGGGAUUGGGGCGGCUGUAGCCGUAGAGUUGGUCCGGCACGGUAUGAAAGUAGUGGGCUGCGCCAGGGACGUCGCAAAAAUCCAGAAAUUGGCAGCAGAGUGUCAGAGCGCCGGUCACCCUGGUGUUUUGGUGCCUUUCAAGUGUGACUUGACGAAAGAGGAGGAGAUUCUGUCCAUGUUCGCAGCGAUCAAAGAGCAGCAGAAAGGCGUGGACGUGUGCAUCAACAAUGCUGGUCUGGGUCACCCAGAACGCCUGCUAAAUGGCAAAACCGGCAGCUGGAAGAACAUCAUUGAUGUGAACGUUCUUGCUCUGAGCAUCUGCACACGUGAAGCUUAUCAGUCAAUGAAAGAGAGAAACGUGGAUGAUGGGCACAUCAUAAACAUAAACAGCAUCUGUGGACAUCAAGUCAUUCCUUUUGCUGAUCUACAUUUCUACACUGCCACAAAGUAUGCUGUAACUGCUCUGACUGAGGGCCUGAGACAGGAGCUGCGUGCUGAAAACACCCAUAUCCGAGCCACAAGCAUUUCUCCUGGUUUAGUGGCCACAGAAUUUAUAUCACGGGCCAGCAGCAACAAUCCUGAUCAAGUGGCUGGCAUAUAUGCUGCAUAUAAGGCUCUGCAAGCAAAAGACAUUGCCAGUGCUGUCACGUACGUCCUCAGUGCCCCUCCUCAUGUUCAGAUUGGAGAACUUGUGGUUGAACCUAUAUAGCAGGUGUCAUUGCAGCUUUUGUUGCCCCAGCAACCCCAGGACCAGGCUAGUCUUCACAUUAAAGUGGUGUGAUUGACUCACAGCAAAAUCAAUUCACAGAAUAUGGAAAGAAUAGAAAUUUGUCCAAGUGUUAACUGUCUUCUUAAAAAUGCUGGAACAUGAUAGAUUUCCUCUGCCGCACUGUGACCAACCUUAUGACACUCUGUGAGGAUGUUACCAUCACUGUGUGUUUUUUAGUGUCUUUGAGAAGUUGCAUGAUGUGACCCUCUUGUCAGAAUCAUCCAAAUCAGAAACUUGAAGCUGAAACUCAUCAAAAUGAAGAAGUGCUGAAACGAAUAAAUAAAUGAGAAUAAAUAAAUGAGAGAAAAAGACAUGAAA